rnacentral:rRNA from 1 species
UGAACGCUAGCUACAGGCUUAACACAUGCAAGUCGAGGGGCAGCAUGGUCUUAGCUUGCUAAGACUGAUGGCGACCGGCGCACGGGUGAGUAACACGUAUCCAACCUGCCGUCUACUCUUGGACAGCCUUCUGAAAGGAAGAUUAAUACAAGAUGGCAUCAUGAGUCCGCAUGUUCACAUGAUUAAAGGUAUUCCGGUAGACGAUGGGGAUGCGUUCCAUUAGAUAGUAGGCGGGGUAACGGCCCACCUAGUCUUCGAUGGAUAGGGGUUCUGAGAGGAAGGUCCCCCACAUUGGAACUGAGACACGGUCCAAACUCCUACGGGAGGCAGCAGUGAGGAAUAUUGGUCAAUGGGCGAGAGCCUGAACCAGCCAAGUAGCGUGAAGGAUGACUGCCCUAUGGGUUGUAAACUUCUUUUAUAAAGGAAUAAAGUCGGGUAUGCAUACCCGUUUGCAUGUACUUUAUGAAUAAGGAUCGGCUAACUCCGUGCCAGCAGCCGCGGUAAUACGGAGGAUCCGAGCGUUAUCCGGAUUUAUUGGGUUUAAAGGGAGCGUAGAUGGAUGUUUAAGUCAGUUGUGAAAGUUUGCGGCUCAACCGUAAAAUUGCAGUUGAUACUGGAUAUCUUGAGUGCAGUUGAGGCAGGCGGAAUUCGUGGUGUAGCGGUGAAAUGCUUAGAUAUCACGAAGAACUCCGAUUGCGAAGGCAGCCUGCUAAGCUGCAACUGACAUUGAGGCUCGAAAGUGUGGGUAUCAAACAGGAUUAGAUACCCUGGUAGUCCACACGGUAAACGAUGAAUACUCGCUGUUUGCGAUAUACGGCAAGCGGCCAAGCGAAAGCGUUAAGUAUUCCACCUGGGGAGUACGCCGGCAACGGUGAAACUCAAAGGAAUUGACGGGGGCCCGCACAAGCGGAGGAACAUGUGGUUUAAUUCGAUGAUACGCGAGGAACCUUACCCGGGCUUAAAUUGCAGAUGAAUUACGGUGGAAGCCGUAAGCCGCAAGGCAUCUGUGAAGGUGCUGCAUGGUUGUCGUCAGCUCGUGCCGUGAGGUGUCGGCUUAAGUGCCAUAACGAGCGCAACCCUUGUUGUCAGUUACUAACAGGUUCCGCUGAGGACUCUGACAAGACUGCCAUCGUAAGAUGUGAGGAAGGUGGGGAUGACGUCAAAUCAGCACGGCCCUUACGUCCGGGGCUACACACGUGUUACAAUGGGGGGUACAGAGGGCCGCUACCACGCGAGUGGAUGCCAAUCCCAAAAACCUCUCUCAGUUCGGACUGGAGUCUGCAACCCGACUCCACGAAGCUGGAUUCGCUAGUAAUCGCGCAUCAGCCACGGCGCGGUGAAUACGUUCCCGGGCCUUGUACACACCGCCCGUCAAGCCAUGGGAGCCGGGGGUACCUGAAGUGCGUAACCGCGAGGAGCGCCCUAGGGUAAAACUGGUGACUGGGGCUAAGUC